AACGGUCUAUACCUGCGGUACCUGCGGAGGGAUCAUUAUUGAACUAUGUUUCUAGAUGGGUUGUAGCUGGCUCUUUGGAGCAUGUGCACGCCUGUUUGGACUUCAUUUUCAUCCACCUGUGCACCUAUUGUAGUCUUUGUGUCGGGUUAUUGAGGAAGUGGCCAGCCUAUCAGCAUUUGCUGGAUGUGAGGUCUUGCAGUGUGAAAGCAGUGCUGUCCUUUACUUGGCCACGGAGUCUUU
rnacentral:misc_RNA from 1 species